CCUACGGGAGGCAGCAGUGGGGAAUAUUGCACAAUGGGCGGAAGCCUGAUGCAGCGACGCCGCGUGAGGGAUGAAGGCCUUCGGGUUGUAAACCUCUUUCAGCAGGGACGAAGCGUGAGUGACGGUACCUGCAGAAGAAGCACCGGCUAACUACGUGCCAGCAGCCGCGGUAAUACGUAGGGUGCGAGCGUUGUCCGGAAUUACUGGGCGUAAGGAGUUCGUAGGCGGUUUGUCGCGUCGUUUGUGAAAACCCGGGGCUCAACUUCGGGCUUGCAGGCGAUACGGGCAGACUUGAGUGUUUCAGGGGAGACUGGAAUUCCUGGUGUAGCGGUGAAAUGCGCAGAUAUCAGGAGGAACACCGGUGGCGAAGGCGGGUCUCUGGGAAACAACUGACGCUGAGGAACGAAAGCGUGGGUAGCAAACAGGAUUAGAUACCCUGGUAGUCCACGCCGUAAACGGUGGGCGCUAGGUGUGGGUUCCUUCCACGGGAUCUGUGCCGUAGCUAACGCAUUAAGCGCCCCGCCGUGGGGAGGUACGGCCGCGAGGACGUAAACGUACAAAUAGAAGUUAGACGGCGUGAGACGUUGUCCGAACGGACGACGACGAGGGGAGGAGG
rnacentral:rRNA from 1 species